rnacentral:rRNA from 1 species
GACGAACGCUGGCGGCGCGCUUAACACAUGCAAGUCGAACGAAGAGCGAUGGAAGCUUGCUUCUAUCAAUCUUAGUGGCGAACGGGUGAGUAACGCGUAAUCAACCUGCCCUUCAGAGGGGGACAACAGUUGGAAACGACUGCUAAUACCGCAUACGAUCUAAUCUCGGCAUCGAGGAUAGAUGAAAGGUGGCCUCUACAUGUAAGCUAUCACUGAAGGAGGGGAUUGCGUCUGAUUAGCUAGUUGGAGGGGUAACGGCCCACCAAGGCGAUGAUCAGUAGCCGGUCUGAGAGGAUGAACGGCCACAUUGGGACUGAGACACGGCCCAGACUCCUACGGGAGGCAGCAGUGGGGAAUCUUCCGCAAUAGACGAAAGUCUGACGGAGCAACGCCGCGUGAGUGAUGACGGCCUUCGGGUUGUAAAGCUCUGUUAAUCGGGACGAAAGGCCUUCUUGCGAAUAGUGAGAAGGAUUGACGGUACCGGAAUAGAAAGCCACGGCUAACUACGUG